UACGGGGGGGGCAAGCGUUGUUCGGAUUUACUGGCGUAAAGAGCAUGUAGGCGCCACUCAGGUCCGUUGUGAAAACUGGAGGCUCAACUUCCAGACCGUGACGGAAACCGCGUGGCUAGAGUCCGGAAGAGGAGAGUGGAAUUCCCUGGUGUAGCGGUGAAUGCGCAGACUAUACAGGAAGAACACCCAAUGGCGAAAGGC
rnacentral:rRNA from 1 species